UCGCCCCUCCCCCCGGAAAUGCGCCUGCCUGCCGGCGCCCGGCGAGCGUUCGUGCCUUUGUCCUUUGAACCGGGAGUGGUUUCGGCUGUAGAGCAGGAACUUUGGAAUUCAACCUGGCUUCCAAAUGUUUACAUUGUCUUGACCUGGGGCUCGUCUCGCGCGAUAUCUUCUAGGCUUCUCCAUCUUCUCUGUGAAAGGGGGACAGGAAUUCCCACCUCUUUGAGUUGUGUGAGGAUUACUCGUUUGGGAGAAGAGUUUUCUCAGGUCUUCUCCCAGCUGUAAGACUCAUGCGGGGCCAGCGCUGUGGCACAGUGGGUAAAGCCGCCGCCUGCAGUGCCAGCAUUCCAUAUGGGUGCUGGUUCAAGUCCCAGCUGCUCCACUUUCGAACCAGCUCUCUACAAUGGCCUAGGAAAGCAGUGGAAGAUGGCCCAAAUCCUUGGGCCCCUGCACCCACAUGGGAGACCUGGAAGAAGCUCCUGGCUCCUGGCUUCGGAUCAGUGCAGCUCCAGCCAUUGUGGCCAAUUGGGGAGUGAACCAGCAUAUGGAAGACCUCUCUCUCUCUGCCUCUCUUCCUCUCUGUCUCUCUCUGUGAAACUCUGACUUCAAAAUAAAUAAAUAAAUCUUAAAAAAAAAAAAAAAAAA